AAUAGAAACAUCUUGCGGCACGAAUGUACCAAUACAAAUAAAUAUAACAUCUCCAGUUAUUUAGCUGAGCAUCAAUUGUACGUUAGUACAAUAAGUUUAAUUUAAUAAGAGGCGAUCUAGAGUUGAAAUGUUUUAUUUUUUAUUAUUUUUUAUCAAGUGAUCAAAGUGUUUGUUGUCGCUGCGAUCAGUGGCCCAGAUGCUGUGUACAGUCUGCACUGUAUCAGGUCUGCACUCGGACACGCGCUUCAAUCCGUUGUGGAGACGGCCUAUUCGUUCCGGUGAAAUUACUAAACAUAAAUAUACACAAACGUAUCCCUGUCUGAUAUACAACAACUGAUAAACAUAAUCAGUUUUGAUAAAUAAAAAAAAAAAAACAUACGAGUGUGGGUUAAAACCCAAACCCGGACCUCUGACAUGCUAGGCAAAAGUUCUACCACUGAACCAUUUGAGCUGACAAACAGAUAUAUUGUAGCUUGAUAUUCACUAUAGGAAGAAAGUGCAGCAUAAAAAAUAGCAUAUUUUAGCAUUAAAAUCCCUUUAACAUUUAUGGUGAUCUGAGGGUGCGGGGGAGUCCAGUUAAUGAGGCGUAAUUCAUUAGCUUUAAUGAGAAUUGUAUAUUUUAUAGGCCUACAUUAAAGUUUAUUUCGUUUUUUAUAUUUUACAUUUAUUUCUUGAAUGCUACUAUUACAUCAACUGUAGCUGAAAAAAAUAAACCACUGUAUAUUUAAUUUGUAUAUUAUGUUGUUUAUAUGAAACUUUCUUUGUUUUUAUAUUUUUAAUAACAGAUUGGUUACCUGAGUACAUAUGUAUAAAGUACAGUUACACUGUAUGAUUGUGAAUUUUAAUUGCUGUUUUUAACAGAGAUUUUUGACUUUUCUGUUCUUUUACAGAACACUAUUGCACACAAAAUGCUCUUACUCAGCAGAUGGGGACAGCUACCAUCACCCAAUUUUCUUUUGCACAAGCUGUGCAAAAGUGGCUGCGCUAUGCGGCAGACCGGGCAGGAGGGACUGGACGACAACUUAUGCAGGCAUCAGAUGACAAUGAAGUGUAAAUAAAGAGCAGAGAGGCUAAUAAACAUGAAUUUGAUUUUAAA